rnacentral:rRNA from 1 species
CCUACGGGUGGCUGCAGUGAGGAAUAUUGGUCAAUGGGAGAAAUCCUGAACCAGCCACGCCGCGUGAAGGAAGACGGCUCUAUGGGUUGUAAACCUCUUUUGUCGGGGAGCAAAACCCGGGACGUGUCCCGAACUACGUGUAUCCUAAUAAAAAGCAUCGGCUAACUCCGUGCCAGCAGCCGCGGUAUUACGGAGGAUCCGAGUGUUAUCCGGAUUUAUUGGGGUAAAGGGGUGCGUAGGCGGUCCGUUAAGUCAGCGGUAAAAUUGCGGGGCAAAACCGCGUGGAGCCGUUGAAACUGGGAGACUUGAGUUGGCGAGAAGUAAGCGGAAUGCGUGGUGUAGCGGUGAAAUGCAUAGAUAUAGCGAAGAACACCGAUUGCGAAGGCAGAGUACUGGCGCCAGACUGACGCUGAGGCACGAAAGCGUGGGGAUCGAACAGGAUUAGAUACCCCAGUAGUC